UUAAGUUCAGCGGGUAUCCCUACCUGAUCCGAGGUCAACCUUGUAAAAAUUUGGUUAUAGACCAGCCCCCGGAGACCGCAACCGAUACGUGCUUGGAAAGCUCAUUGUACCAGGGGUCCGCCGGACGCCGUCGUUUUCUUUCGGAGCGGCCAGGUUCAGAACCUCGCCGGGCCUCCAACACCAAGCCGGGGCUUGAGGGU
rnacentral:misc_RNA from 1 species